UGAGAACUACUGAAAGUUUCCAGUAGGUUCGGCUGCCGACCUCGCCGACUCACCCACUAGGUUUAUUCAAGCAUAUGUAGGCAAGAAAAGAGAACAGAUAGUAAUCAACUAUAUCAUGUAACUACUACAAUGCCUAUACAAAACUAGAAAGAACAAUACAUAACUCAUGAGAUUUAUGCAUGCAUACUAUCAUAUACCAUUAUCCAAUCAAUUCAGUUAACCCCAUAAUUAACUGCAACUCACCAAUUAACUUAACUUAAACAUAAACUCGUACCUCAACUCGAUUCCUCGAAGAGAUGAGGAUAGUGCUCCUUCAUCAC
rnacentral:lncRNA from 1 species